rnacentral:rRNA from 1 species
GGUUGAUCCUGCCAGUAGUCAUAUGCUUGUCCUAAAGAUUAAGCCAUGCAUGUGUACGUUCAAGCCCUUGUACGGUGAAACUGCGGAUGGCUCAUUAUAUCAGUGAUAAUUUGGUUGAUGGAGAGAUAUCGUGGAUAACCGUGGUAAUUCUAUGGCUAAUACAUGUGGAGCAGACGCAAGUCUGGCAUUUAUUAGAUAAAGCCUUGGCGGGGGGUUUCGGCCCAGCGCUGCGGUGAGAGAUGAUAACUGGGCGGAUCGCGCGGUGCGCGACGCAUCAAGGAAAUUUCUGCC